ensembl:misc_RNA 7SK 7SK RNA
GGAUGUGAGAAUAAUCUGGCUCUGACAUUUGUCAACCCACUGAUCACCAGGGUUGAUCUGGCUGAUCUGGCUGGCAAGGUAGGUGUCCCUUUCCUCUCUCACAUCUCCUUCUGUGUCCCUCCCAAAACGAUGUGUUUGGUGAAGGAAGAUGACCUUCUCCGACAGAGGAGGAUUUUUCUUUGGUAAAGGGUAUGUGUAUAUGAGUAGCUGUGUUCCCCUACCAGACCCUCCAAACAAGCUCUCAAGGUCCAUUUGUAGGAGAAUGUAGGGUAGUCAAGCUUCCAAGACUCCAAACACAUCUAAAUGAGGUACUGCAUGUGGCAGUCUGCUCUUCUUA